rnacentral:rRNA from 1 species
UACGUAGGUGGCAAGCGUUGUCCGGAAUUAUUGGGCGUAAAGAGCUCGUAGGCGGUUUGUCGCGUCUGCCGUGAAAGUCCGGGGCUCAACUCCGGAUCUGCGGUGGGUACGGGCAGACUAGAGUGAUGUAGGGGAGAUUGGAAUUCCUGGUGUAGCGGUGAAAUGCGCAGAUAUCAGGAGGAACACCGAUGGCGAAGGCAGGUCUCUGGGCAUUAACUGACGCUGAGGAGCGAAAGCAUGGGGAGCGAACAGG